UCAAACUUGGUCAUUUAGAGGAAGUAAAAGUCGUAACAAGGUUUCCGUAGGUGAACCUGCGGAAGGAUCAUUAUUGAAAUGCUUAGGAUGCUCUUUUUAGAGGUCCGAUCAAUCUCAAUUCAUUUAACCCUGUGUGCACACACUGUUUCUUUACGUCAUUUUAUUUAUUAUACUCAUUAUAGUUCGUUUGAAUGUCAUCAGUCUCUUAAAUGAGCGUAAAAUAUCAAACAAAACUUUCGGCAACGGAUCUCUUGGCUCUCGCAUCGAUGAAGAACGCAGC
rnacentral:misc_RNA from 1 species